CCCUUAGAUGUUCGGGGCCGCACGCGCGCUACACUGAAGGAAUCAGCACGUCUUUCUCCUUGUCCGAAAGGACUGGGUAACCCGCUGAACCUCCUUCGUGCUAGGGAUUGGGGCUUGUAAUUCUUCCCCAUGAACGAGGAAUUCCCAGUAAGCGCGAGUCAUAAGCUCGCGUUGAUUACGUCCCUGCCCUUUGUACACACCGCCCGUCGCUACUACCGAUUGAAUGGUUUAGUGAGAUCUCUGGAUUGACGCUGGCUAGGGGGCGACCCUUGGCCAGACUGUUGAGAAACUGCUCAAACUUGAUCAUUUAGAGGAAGUAAAAGUCGUAACA
rnacentral:rRNA from 1 species